rnacentral:tRNA from 1 species
GGGGCAGUACCUCAGUGGUAGAGACCCCGGUUCGCAUGCGGGAAGAACUGGGUUCGAUUCCCGGCUGCUUCC